CGAGCAGAUGUUCAGACUGUGGAGAGACUCGCCGUGCAGCGCAUUACUCUGCAGAGAGAGAGCUCGGAGGAGCUUUGCUUGUGCACACACCCGAACUGCGAGUCUGUGUUAUAUUUAAAUCAUCUGUAGGUUUGAUUAAAAUGGAUUAAAAAACAGGGGCACCGGCGGGGAGUAACAUGGAGCUGACUGACGGCGCUGCUGACACAAAGCAGGAGCCUUGGUGCAGGCUGUGACUUCAGACAUGGCGUCAGGAACCUUCAGUCCAAUGACUGAGAAGCAACCUGGUCAGAGGACCAAGACAAUAACAACAACAACAACAACAACAACAAUAUUAAAAUGAAGACGUUUGUUUUAUAUAUAUAUAUAUAUAUAGGAUUAUUGUGAUGCUGUUUAAGUUGAAAAGUUUAAAUGCUUUUUAUUCAUAGAACUUUGUCUCUUUAUUGUUUUUCAUUGAUAACUUCACUUAAAAAACAACCCUGUAUCUGUUUGUAUUAGCUUUACUCAAAAUGUUCAUGUUAACAAAUGAUAAUUUAAUUAUAUCCUAUUCAUAUAAGUGGAACACUUUUAUAACUGUGUAGUCUUUGAAGGACUCCAUUGAGACCGCAGUGAUAAUCUCAGUGUAAGACAACAUGAACCUCAUUUAUCUCCUCUAUCUACAUGUCAUCAGGGCGCUCACUUUGUCCUCCACAACAGAGGACCAGCUGUCUGUGACCUUAGUGCUAAAUCAAGUUCAAAGAGGACCGCUGGUGUUUGGCAGAUAGUUUUACAUCGGGGCAGUGGGAGAACAGAGUGUUUGGUCAACCUCUGGCUCUCUCUUUGAUUCGCAGCUCUCUGUGGCCCCUGGCAGAGCGACACCACUUAAGGUCCUUUAUUAAGCAACACUGGUCAGUCUGAUCAAAUCUGGGUGAUAACGGGCAUGACUUUCAAUGUCAUUACCCGGCAUUCUUACAUGCUAUCCUGUCUUAUUUUGUACUAGAUAAUCGUUCAGAUAGAGAAGUUCCACUAAGACCAAAAUCUGAUCAGAAAAAGGUUACAUGAAACUCUUCCACUCUGACUUUUAUUCAUUCUAACAAUGCUGUCUAGAUUUACUGUUGAAUAACAACACAUUCAAGGACAGAUUGAGAGUAUAUAUGUAAUUUCUUUCCAAAUGUUGAGAUUUAAUUUGAGAGUUGUAUUUGAUUAUGAAAUCAUAUUGUGCAUGACGUCAUUAUCUGGCUCUUUUGUAUUCAUCCCAGUAUAUAAAAUAGGAAAUAAAGUUCAAAUGACUUGUGCAAUAAAUUAAACCCUUUCUUAACAUUUGACAGUGCUGCUUUGAAGAAGAUGAUUGGCAGUCAUUCACUUUUCCCCUUUCUAAAAUAUAAUAACAAUAUGUCAGCAUCUACUCUGUGAAACGCAGUAGUUUAGUCUGGGCCAUGUUCUGCUGUUUUUAAACCAAAUAGUCUGGUACCAGCAUACAUUAUCCAAGAGCGAAGAAAUAUAUGUGGCACAUUAACUUUCCAGGACGACGUCUGAACACAACUGGAAACCCAUCAGGAAAAACAGUGCUGUGUUUAUUCUGUAUACCAAUGUAUUAUCACAUUAUAGGAAUGAAAAAUGUAUUGUGAUUAGAAUGCUGUUUUUUUAGGACCAAACUCAAAGAGUUUAUAAAACAAUUCUCUGAA